rnacentral:rRNA from 1 species
UACGUAGGUGGCAAGCGUUGUCCGGAUUUAUUGGGGUUAAAGGGUGCGUAGGCGGUCUUAUAAGUCAGUGGUGAAAUACGGCAGCUCAACUGUCGAGGUGCCAUUGAUACUGUAGGACUUGAGUACAGACGAGGUAGGCGGAAUUGACGGUGUAGCGGUGAAAUGCUUAGAUAUCGUCAAGAACACCGAUAGCGAAGGCAGCUUACUAGGCUGUAACUGACGCUGAGGCACGAAAGUGUGGGGAUCAAACAGG